rnacentral:rRNA from 1 species
GGGCCCGCACAAGCGGAGGAACAUGUGGUUUAAUUCGAUGAUACGCGAGGAACCUUACCCGGGCUUAAAUUGCACUGGACAGACUCAGAGAUGGGUUUUUCUUCGGACCAGUGUGAAGGUGCUGCAUGGUUGUCGUCAGCUCGUGCCGUGAGGUGUCGGCUUAAGUGCCAUAACGAGCGCAACCCUUGCUUCCAGUUACCAUCAGGUGAUGCUGGGGACUCUGGAAGGACUGCCAUCGUAAGAUGUGAGGAAGGUGGGGAUGACGUCAAAUCAGCACGGCCCUUACGUCCGGGGCUACACACGUGUUACAAUGGGGGGUACAGCAGGUCGCUACCUGGUGACAGGACGCUAAUCCGUAAAACCCCUCUCAGUUCGGACUGGAGUCUGCAACCCGACUCCACGAAGCUGGAUUCGCUAGUAAUCGCGCAUCAGCCACGGCGCGGUGAAUACGUUCCCGGGCCUU